CUUGAGCCCAGGAGUUCAAGCCCUGGGCAACAUAGUGAGACCUUGUCUCUAAUAAUAAUAAUUUUUAAAAAUACACAUGCAUUAUCUUACAGCUUUAGAAGGCAGAAGUCUGAAAUUCAUCUGCUAUGGAUGACUAUCUGACCAAAAUAAUUUUCAGAACUUUUGGAAUCCCCAUUCUUGGCUUUUUAAAAGUUAGACCUGAAAUCCAAAAGGAGGAUUGAGACCAGCCUGGUCUCAAUUGAGACCCCUGUCCCGCAAAUUCGUAUACUGAAGUCUUAACCCUCAGUGUGGUGGUGUUUGGAGGUGGGCCCUUUGGGAUAUAAUUAGGUUUACAUGAAGUCACAGAGUGGAGCCCUCAUGACAGGAUCAAUGCCCUUGUAAGAAGAGAUAUCAGACAGCUUCUCUCCCCACCAUGUGUGGACACAGCAAGAGGGCAGCUGUCUGCAAUCCAGGGAGAGAGCCUUCAGCAGAAACCGACCAUUCUGGCACCUCGAUCUUGGACUUCCAGACUCUAAAGUUGUGAGAAAAUAAGUGCGUGUUGUUCAAACCAUCCAGUCUAUGGUAUUUUAUGGCAGCUCAAACAAACCUAAGACUGGGCUAAAAUCAAGGUGUCAGUGGGUAGUGUUCCUUCUAGUGGCUCUGGGGAAGAGUUCACUUUCUUCCCUCUUUCGUUCUGUAUGCUGCCUACAUUCCUUGGCUCAUGGCCCCUUCCUCCAUCUUCAAGGCCAGCAGUGCAGCAUCUUCAGAUCUCUCUCUCUCUCUCGCUGACCCUCCUAGUUCCCUCCUACAAUUACAUCAGACCCAACUGGAUAUUUCAGGAUAGCUUUCCCAUCUCAAGUACCUAAACUUAAUCACAACUGCAAAGUUCUUUUUACCUCUAAAGCAACGUAUUACAGGUUUUGGGGAUUAGGACUUGGACAUUGUUGGUGAGGCCAUUGUUCUGCCCACCACAGGAGGCAACAUAUAGUGUUCAUCUUAUGCUGAUUGAGUGUCUGCCAUGUGCUAUGCACUUUUGCUUUCUUUCACACAGUUAAGAAGUGGUGAACUAGGAUUUGAACCCAGGCAGUCUGGCUCUCCCGCCUGCACUCUUGAACUCCUGCAAUAUAUCUACUUCUGCAGUCUGCUUUUUCUCUUAAUAUAGUUUGAAUAUUUUCUCAUGACCUUAACCAUUCCUCUAAGUUUGAGAGUCUAAAACAUCAUUUAUAAUGGCUAACUAAUACUUCAUUGCCUAAAUGAGCCAUAGCUAACUUAACCAUUCUUCAAUAGGAAGAUAUCUUGGUGUAGUUAAAAAAAACACAGUGCUGAACGUUCUUGUACAUGAGCUGUGUGCCCAUACUUACUUAUUAAAUGAACUUGGGCCAGAAAAGUUCCCUGGAAGCUGGUUAACUACUGUACAUUAGACAACAGUAUUUCCUAAACUGUUUUUCUUCUUUUUUCCCCUUCUGUAUUCAUUUACUUACUUUAAAAUUUUUUUCCCCUUCUGUAUUCAUUUACUUACUUUUAAAAUGAGGUCUCACUAUGUUAACCAGGCUGGUCUCAAACUCCUGAGCUCAAGUGAUCCUCUGACCUCAGCCUCCUGAAGUGCUGGGAUUACAGGCAUGAGCCUCUGCACCUGGCUUUUUUUCUUGAGGCACUUAAUAGAUUCUAUGAAGUGAGGUUUUCUGGUUAACUAAACUUAAGAAAUGCUGCACUCCCAUUCCUGAAUUAGAGCUUCACAAUCAUAUUAGCACUAAAACCAGAAGUCCUCUGGUAAACAAAUCCCUCUCUCCCUCCUUGUUUUCUUUAACCCAGAGUUUCCCAAGCUUAAUUUGACCAAAGAUUUUUUUCUUUGAGGCAUCAAGUAACUAUCCUACAAAGCUAAGGUCACAGGACACAAUGUUAGAAACACAUCUUUGGAGUCAACCAAGUGAAGCCACUUACCCUCAAACUCCUUCAAAGGCUUAAGUCUAAAAUUACUCCAGAUGGAAUAGUUUGAAUAUGAUCACGUUUAUGAAAUAAACUUAAACGUUUCCUAUCCUCCACUCGGAAUUUCAGUCUAACAUUGUUGUAGUGGUUCCUUACGUUCCUUAUAGAGGUCACAUUAUACCUGUUCCCUGCUCUGUAAAUGUCAGGGCUGGCCAUCAGCCAAGACCAAUACGGACCUGCCCUGAGGUCUACAUGGCACUGUGUGUUCAUGUUGUUGUUUAAGGAUAGUGACCGAUGUCCUUCAAGAGAGCCGUUCUGGCCGGGCACAGUGGCUCAUGCCUGUAAUCCCAGCACUUUGGGUGGCUGAGACAGACUGAUCACUUGAGGUCAGGAGUUCGAGACCAGCCUGGCCAACAUGGUAAAACCCUGUCUCUAGUAAAAAUACAAAAAUUAGCCAGGCAUAGUGGUGGGUGCCUGUAAUCCCAGCUACUCAGGAGGCUGAGGCAGGAGAAUCGCUUGAACCUGGGAGGCAGAGGUUGCAAUGAACCCAGAUCACUGCACUCCAGCCUGGGCAACAGAGCAAGACUCCAUUUCAAAAAAAUGAAAGAAAAAAAAGUGUUCUAUAGAGUGUUCAGUGCAGGUGAGGAACUGGAUGGCAGGAUGUUCUCAUUGAAAAUGGGGCAGAUUUCAGGCAUCACAAGCUAUUGAAUCAUUACAGGUGAAUAAACCAAUAGCAGAGCAAAGUUUGAGGGAGUAAGCAAAGCUGGACCUGGGGUUACUGGGGAAGUUCUGGGUGAGAUGCACACUGGAUCAGUGAAAAAGAAGCACCAAAGAUAACCAUCAUGGUUUGGGGAGUCUAAUGGGGCAUGUCCUCUUGGCCAAGGGACUUCAAGGGGCCUUAUGGGGUCAUGAAAAAGAAUGUGAUUGAGCUCCCAGGCCUGUGGCACAGACUAUUUGCAUCACAUUCAUUUAAUGAUCUUCAAGACCCAAACAGUGGUGCUGUCUGCAGUGUCCACUAUUGGGGGAAGAGCAUCCGGAGUGCUGUCACCGUCCUAAUGGAGAGGACCUCUGGCUGCAAACUCUGGACCUCUGAGGAAGUUGUCAGGUGUGGAACAGGUUUCUCUCCAGCCUUUUGGCAGCCUGUGUGAUUCCUAAGAUGGCACCCAGAAUUCUGGUGCCUGGUUUGAACCAUACUUGGGGAGGAUCAUCAGAGAUCACAGGGCCCAGCAGAGGAGCCUGGCUGAGCUAGCUUCCCUUGAUACUGACCAGAAUGAUGGCCGGAAGUCUGGGGAUGAGGCAUAGUGUCUUCUCUCUCUGGGGACCUGUGAUAGCCUCUCCUAAGGGGGUAGAUAGAACCAGAACAUGGGCUCAGUUAUCCAAAGCGACCAUUCUCAGCCCCCUUGUUCCUGGAAGCCCCUGCUCCAGAACUGCUAAGCCAGCCUUUCUUUCCUGCUACUUCUCUGACCUCUAGUGGCUAGAACUGGAAAAACUUGCUCAAGGGAUGAAAUCAUCAAUAAGCAGGAAAUGUCUUUGAUGUUAAAUGGCUGUCCACUUCUCUAUAGUAAUCCUUCACCCUCUUUACAACAUUCUUUCUGCAUACAUCCCAUCAUUUAAUUCAGCCAUCAUCAACACUGGGUUUGGGCUCCAGACUGUGACUGUCACUGUCUUAUGUAACUUGGGCUGGAGUUGGCAUCUGAGCCUCUGUGGUCAUGACAUCCAGGUGUCACGACAUCCACCCUAACUACAUUCCAGGGUUGUUGCAAGGCUCAAAUGACAUGAAGCCUACAAAAGAAGUGGUAUAUAAAUCCGCUUGUUACUCCAAAGCCAUUGAGUCUGUGAUUCUGUAAGCCUAAAAUGUUUUAAUUCAUAUAUUUUGGUGAAGGCAUUUAAGCCCUUUCCUCUGAUUCUCUAUGGGAGAUUCUGUCCCAAUCCAUAAGCAUUUACUUGUGGUUGUUAUAUAUAUUUCAUAAUGGACUUACUGAUUACUCAACAAACAUGAAUUGCCUACCUCGUGCCAUGUACCACAGCUACUGCUGGGAUCUGGCAAUGAUCAGACAGGCAAGGCUCUACCCUAAUGGAGUUUGCAUUCAAAUGAAUUAAGGGGAUUCAUAGACAGAAGGAGGUUGUGCCAGUAAAGGGCUAAGCAGCCCAUAUGGAAAUGUGGACACCAGGCUUCACUUGUGAUUCCUGCUACAUCAGGCAGUUGCCAAGUUAGAAGCCUGGGAUGUAAGAUGAAGAAAGGUGAGUCCCCUUCGGCUUGGAACUGGAAGAGGUCAAAUGGCCCUUUCCCCUCCCAAACGGAGCCAUGCAAGCCCCAUUUAUCUUGUGUGUUUUAUCCACAUUCCUUGUUCACAGGUUUUAGCCGCAUCAACCACAAAGGGCAUAAUUGGAAAAAUCAUAAUUGUUAUACUUGAAGAUACUUCUCAGAAGUGCAUUUGGGGCUCUGUGUCAAUAAACCCACCCCAUGAAGGGCCAGAAGCCAGGGCCAGGCAUUUCUUGGGAGGGAGGGAUGGAAAUGGUCUUGGUGAGGGUGCGUAGAGUCACCACACCACUGUUGAAUUAAUCACUGACCUCAUCUCUCCAUCCUGAGGAUUCUUGGAGGACAUUGCGAGAGCUAAAAUCUCCUCAUUCCCAAGGCUGGUGUGCACCUUUUCCAUUGCCUUUGUUGGUGUACACUUCUUAAGGUCUGGGAGGCCUCAAACCCCAAUGUUUCAGGACCCCAGCAGGUGAGGUAAAUGAAUAAAGCUGGCCAGUGUAAGACCGGGGCAAACUGAGAAGAACAAACUUCAUCCUUAUUCAAAGGUUUUAUAACACUGGGCUGUCUGCACAAAAAGCCUGGGCAGGUCAGCAGACAAUUGACUUCCUCUGCUAUAGAGGAUAGACCCUGGUGAGGAAAGCAGGAGGCCUGGGUACCAUCACUGGCUCCCUAUGACUUGAGUACAGCCUUCCCUUGGCAGAGCCUCAAGCGCUUUCAUCUGUUAAGAAGUGGGUCUGUGAGUCUCCAAGGUGCCACCACCUCUGACAGUCUAAUUCUGUGAUCUGUGAUAGAAUACAUAUCUCAAAACAACUGGAGCCACUGUCGGUCUGUCCAACAUAUAUUUGCAAAAUGCGUGCUGUGCCUGUUUGAUCUAACUGACUUUUUGGAACUUGGUGUCCUUGAGAUCUUUGGAUGGGUUUGUGCAUUAACCUUAAGUGCUUUGAUCCCUGUAAUAUAAUAAAAUGGCCUACACUUAACCAUCA